rnacentral:misc_RNA from 1 species
GUAGGUGAACCUGCGGAGGGAUCAUUACUGAAUGGCCUCUCGGCCUUCAACCCUCAAACCUGUGGAAUCGAGAUGUGCUUCGGCGCCUCUGGCGUCGAAUCUAUGCUGUUUGGCUUGUGUCUGAUGAAAACAAAAAUUUAAAACUUUCAACAAAGGAUCUCUUGGCUCUC